AUCAAUUGAACUCGGGAAGAGUAGGUUGCAAUGAGUGAGACCGCACCGCUGCACUCCGGCAUAGGCAACGGAGUGAAACUCCAUCUCAAAAA